CCAAUAGCGUAUAUUAAAGUUGUUGCAGUUAAAAAGCUCGUAGUUGAACUUCGGGGUUUACCCAUUGGUCAGGCUUAAUUGUCUGUACUGGUGAGAUGAAUCUCUACCUUCCGAGGAACUUUCAUGCCAUUUAUUUGGUGUGAUUGGAAAUCAGGACUGUUACUUUGAAAAAAUUAGAAUGUUUAAAGCAGGCUAACGUCUGAAUACAUUAGCAUGGAAUAAUGAAAUAGGACGGACUGAUUCUAUUUCGUUGGUUUCUAGGAUCACCGUAAUGAUUAAUAGGGAUAGUUGGGGGCAUUAGUAUUCAAUUGUCAGAGGUGAAAUUCUUGGAUUUAUUGAAGACUAACUACUGCGAAAGCAUUUGCCAAGGAUGUUUUCAUUAAUCAAGAACGAAAGUUAGGGGAUCGAAGACGAUCAGAUACCGUCGUAGUCUUAACCAUAAACUAUGCCGACUAGGGAUCGGACGAAGUUAAUUUUAUAAUGACGCGUUCAGCACCUUACG
rnacentral:rRNA from 1 species